CCUACGGGUGGCAGCAGUGGGGAAUAUUGGGCAAUGGGCGCAAGCCUGACCCAGCAACGCCGCGUGAAGGAAGAAGGCUUUCGGGUUGUAAACUUCUUUUCUCAGGGACGAAGAAAGUGACGGUACCUGAGGAAUAAGCCACGGCUAACUACGUGCCAGCAGCCGCGGUAAUACGUAGGUGGCAAGCGUUAUCCGGAUGUAUUGGGUGUAAAGGGCGUGUAGGCGGGAGCGCAAGUCAGAUGUGAAAACUCAGGGCUCAACCCUGAGCCUGCAUUUGAAACUGUGUUUCUUGAGUACUGGAGAGGCAAUCGGAAUUCCGUGUGUAGCGGUGAAAUGCGUAGAGAUACGGAGGAACACCAGUGGCGAAGGCGGAUUGCUGGACAGUAACUGACGCUGAGGCGCGAAAGCGUGGGGAGCAAACAGGAUUAGAUACCCCUGUAGUC
rnacentral:rRNA from 1 species